GGCACUUCCCUGUGGGAAAUCAAGUUUCAUUUGACUUAGAAAAACAGUUAAGUGAUGCCUCCUGCCCUCACUGGGGUGUCCUUUUUACCCCGGGCACUUCUCCUGGGCUCCUGCGCUCCUGGCGCUGAGGUAAGAGGAGACACACGCAACCUUGCUGGCCUGGCCAGGAGGAGCCCACAGCCGUCAUUUCAGACAGAGGAACCUGAGCCGGACGUGAACCUGGGUUCAGACACUGCCGUUGCUGUGGGUGAGCGGCUGUUCUGCCUGUGGAGCAGCAUCGGGUGGGUGGUUGCCUGGCACCGUGACUGUUAGGAGAACUUCUGCAUGGCCGGGGUGUACUUUAUGGGGGGUGCGGCCCCCUGUAAUCGCUCUGCAGUCUGGGCACCCUGUGAUGGGGGCCUGGUCCUCAUCUGCGGCUGCCUCGGCUGGCUCCGAUGUGAGCCAAGUUGGGAUCUUUCCAGAGACCCCUCAAUUCGGGACUUCCUCCAAAGGACACAUCUUCCGACACUGGAAGAAGCUUUCAAAAGAGCUCCCCAAAGGAUCCCAUCCAGGGUGCCGCAUCCCAUUCAGUCGUCAUGUCUCCUAGGCUGCUCUGGUCUGUGACAGUUUCUUACUGUUCCUUGCUUUUGAUGAACUUGACCGCUUUGGGGAGUACAACUCCAAUGUUUUGCGAAAUGCCCUCCGAUCUGAGUAUGUCUGAUGUUUUCAUCAUGGUUAGACCAGGAUGAUGGGUUUCUGUCACGUCGUAUCAGUAGAGGGUACAUGAUACCCACAUGGCCUUGUUUUUACUUUUAAGAAAUUCUGGAAAUGUCAACAAUACUGCAUAUUUCUUAUGGGAUGUGUAUCUGUAUCUCAGCCAUCGUAUGUGGUAAGAUGUUAACAUUGCACUCUCCUGCAAUCUGUCUCACUCAAUCUCAGAGUCGUGGAGGUCCCCACACCAAAGGGACCCCUGUGGUUAACUCUGAGGGAGGGUGGUGGGGACUAGUUAUGGUCCCCUGGAACCUGUGAAUGUGACCGUAUUUGGGAAAAGUGUCUUUGCAAAUAUAGUUUAGGAUCUCAAGAUGAAAUCCCCCUGGAUUCGUGCAGGCCCCAAGUCCAAUGACAAGUGUCCUUAGGAGAGAAGAGAAGAGGAGACACACACAGGAGCAGUCUAUGUGAAGUCGCAGGCAGAGAUUGGAGCAAUGGGGUCGCAAGCCUGGGACAGCUAGAGUCCCCAGAAGCUGGAAGAGCCCAGGAAGGAUC
rnacentral:lncRNA from 1 species